CCAGAAAUACUUAGCGGCCACCAUAUUUAAUCGGAAAAUCAAAGAUACAGUUCCAGGCUCGAGUUCCAGGUUGCAGUUCCAGGCUCAAGUUCCAGAAGCUUAUGUUAGAUCUGGAAGAAAAUAAUUGAGUUGUCUGACAGCAACAAGAGAUGUUAGAGACACAAGUGAAUUCCUCAGGAGAGAAAGAAAUAUCAAGGCGUGCAUAAUUCAAACUGACAAGUGCUAGAGCUGUGGAAAAGAGGCAAGAAACAAGGACCAAAGGUCCUUGCUAAGUAGCAGGAUGAAAGAUGGCUUAGUGUAAUUUUGCAGAAGGAUUCAGUUUUGCAGAUUUCCAAACAAGAAACGUGGAUAUUAAUGGGGGUUUGCAAAGAGCAAACUCAAUAACAGUCCCAGUCAAUUAAAAGUACAUAAAGUAUUAAUGUGUUAUCCCCUGGUUUGUGUUUAAGGGGCUGUGGAGACUAAUGUUUAAAUCCCAGGAGAAAAAGCCCAAUCCUGUGCUCAAACCCCGUAUUUGGAGCUGUCAUCCAUUACCAAACAUCACUUCAUUAAUAUUCAAAAGAUUUCUCCAUGUUUCCCAAAACAUGGAUUAGG